UACGUAGGGUGCGAGCGUUAAUCGGAAUUACUGGGCGUAAAGCGUGCGCAGGCGGUGAUGUAAGACAGUUGUGAAAUCCCGGGGCUCAACUCCGGGGCUGCCAGUAAGACUGGCGGGCUAGAGCACGGUAGAGGCGGAUGGAAUUCCCGGUGUAGCGGUGGAAUGCGUAGAUAUCGGGAAGAAUACCGGUGGCGAAGGCGUUCCGCUGGGCCGUUGCUGACGCUGAGGCGCGACAGCGUGGGGAGCAAACAGG
rnacentral:rRNA from 1 species